rnacentral:rRNA from 1 species
AUGAACGCUGGCGGCGUGCCUAACCCAUGCAAGUCGAACGGAGUCCAGCCUUUCAGACCUUCGGGUCAAAGAGGGGAAGACUGAGUGGCGGACGGGUGAGUAACACGUGGGCAACCUGGCUCAUAGAGGGGGAUAACAGAGAGAAAUUUCUGCUAAUACCGCAUAAGCACACACUGCCGCAUGGCAGAGGGUGAAAAGAGAAUCGCUAUGAGAUGGACCCGCGUCUGAUUAGCCAGUUGGCAGGGUAAGAGCCUACCAAAGCGACGAUCAGUAGCCGAUCUGAGAGGAUGAACGGCCACAUUGGGACUGAGACACGGCCCAAACUCCUACGGGAGGCAGCAGUGGGGGAUAUUGCACAAUGGGGGGAACCCUGAUGCAGCGACGCCGCGUGAGUGAAGAAGUAUUUCGGUAUGUAAAGCUCUAUCAGCAGGGAAGAUAAUGACAGUACCCGAAUAAGAAGCCCCGGCUAACUACGUG